GUAGUGGCGGAGAGAGCCAACAGACGGCGGUGGUGAGGCCUGAGGUUGUCGUCUGCGUCCUCACUCCGGGAAAAUGGAGACGUGACAGAGGAGGCUCUAGGCGACACAUCCAGACAGUAACGACACCUCCCAGGCAGGUCGUGUGUAGAGCAACGAGAAGACCUGGACGACAAUCCCCAGGUCGUGUUGAACAACGACGAAAGAACCUGAAGCAACGACACCCCUUCCUUUAACCAACCAGGGUAACUACCAAGACCCGCACGACCAUUGCCAUCGUUACAUACGAGGUGCCAAGGCAGUGUGUUUAUCCAACUCACUCCUGCCGCCUGUCCCCCCCCCCUCCCUCCCUAUAGUGAGAUUUUAAGACCACUCUAUGAUCACAAGACGAGAUAACAACAACAGCUUAAGAUAACAGCCUCCAAGAACAUCAGUGAAGUGGUAAGAGAUCACGACUUCAAGAUCAUAGGGAGAGAGUGAAGAAAAAAAAAACUCGGACCAUAGUACAAAAAAAAUAAUAAUAAUAAUCAUAUACAAA